rnacentral:rRNA from 1 species
AACGGCGGCCGUAACUAUAACGGUCCUAAGGUAGCGAAAUUCCUUGUCAGGUAAGUUCUGACCCGCAUGAAAGGCGUAAUGAUUUGGGCACUGUCUCAACAGCCCGCCCGGCGAAAUUGUAGUACCGGUGAAGAUGCCGGUUACCCGCGACAAGACGGAAAGACCCCAUGGAGCUUUACUGUAGCCUAAUAUUGGGUUUCGAUGUUGCAUGCACAGGAUAGAUGGGACACAGGGAAACAAGUGCUUUGGCAUUUGUGGAGUGGCCGUUGGGAUACCAUCCUUGCGAUAUUGGAAUUCUAACCUGCGCCUUUGAAUCAAGGCGGGGGACAUUGUUAGGUGGGCAGUUUGACUGGGGCGGUCGCCUCCUAAAGAGUAACGGAGGCGUUCAAAGGUUCGCUCAGCUUGAACGGAAAUCAAGCAAAAGAGUGCAAACGCAGAAGCGAGCCUAACUGCGAGACUGACGGGUCGAGCAGUAACGAAAGUUGGAGUUAGUGAUCCGGUGGUAUGUGAGUGGAAAUGCCAUCGCUCAACGGAUAAAAGUUACCCUGGGGAUAACAGGCUGAUCUCCCCCAAGAGUCCACAUCGACGGGGAGGUUUGGCACCUCGAUGUCGGCUCAUCGCAUCCUGGGGCUGUAUUCGGUCCCAAGGGUUUGGCUGUUCGCCAAUUAAAGCGGUACGCGAGCUGGGUUCAGAACGUCGUGAGACAGUUCGGUCCCUAUCUGUCGUGGGCGCAGGAUAUUUGAUGGGAGCUGUUCCUAGUACGAGAGGACCGGAGCGGACGUACCUCUGGCGCACCAGUUGUUCUGCCAAGGGCAUAGCUGGGCAACUAUGUACGGAUCGGAUAAACGCUGAAAGCAUCUAAGCGUGAAGCCGACCCAAAGAUAAGAUAUCCCAUUGUUUCAAACAAGUAAGACCCCUUGAAGACUACAAGGUUGAUAGGCACGAUGUGUAAGUGGAGUGAUCCAUUCAGCAAGCGUGUACUAAUAGGUCGAGGGCUUGACCAC